rnacentral:rRNA from 1 species
UAAAUGAUGCGGUCAAGCUAUUACAAGUAUAUGGCGGAUGCCUAGGCCGGGACCGUUGAAGAAGGACGUGGUAAGCUGCGAUAAGCGUCGGGGAGGUGCAAACAACCUUUGAUCCGGCGAUUUCCGAAUGGGGAAACCCGUUGCGGGGACAACCCGCAACAUCCCGAUCUCAAAAGUCGGGAAGACAACCCGGGGAAGUGAAACAUCUCAGUACCCGGAGGAAAAGAAAUCAAUCAAGAGAUUCCGUAAGUAGCGGCGAGCGAAAGCGGAACAGCCAAAACCUCAAGAGUGUCAAGACCAUAUUCGUUGCUCUCGGGGUGUUACAGGAACGCGUCGGCUCCGUGUAUGGACGGGGCGGAAAGUAAAAAACUGACACUUUAGCCGAAUUUUCUGGAAUGGGAAACCAUAGCGGGUGAUAGUCCCGUAGGCGAAAGAGUGCCGGCUUUCCGGAUGCGUCUCCUAAGUAACGCGGGACACGUGUAAUCCCGUGUGAAUUCGGGUGGACCAUCAUCCAAGGCUAAACAUGAGUCCCGGACCGAUAGUGAACCAGUACCGCGAGGGAAAGGCGAAAAGAACCCCGGAAGGGGAGUGAAAAGAACCUGAAACCAUAUACUUACAAGCAAUCGAAGCCCUAUGACCAAGAGUUUACUCUUGGUAACGGGUGACGGUGUGCCUGUUGAAGAAUGAUCCGGCGAGUUGCUCGACACAAGCACGGAUAAGCGCCCCGUCAAAAGCGGGGUGCGGAUCCAUAGCGAAAGCGAGUCCUAAUAGGGCGAUUAAGUUUGUGUCGGCAGACCCGAAGCCAAGUGAUCUAUCCCUGGACAGAGUGAACUCCGAUUAAUCUCGGAGGGAGGCUCGAAGCGUUAACCGUUGAAAAGGUUCUGCAUGAGCUGGGGAUAGGGGUGAAAGGCCAAUCGAACUUGGUGAUAGCUGGUUCUUCCCGAAAUAGCUUUAGGGCUAGCCUGAUAGUUUAACCGUCGGGGGUAGAGCACUGGAUAAUGUAGGGUCCGUAACCCGGAUUCCGAAUUUAACCAAACUCCGAAUACCGGCGGGAAUAUUAUUGGAGUCAGUUCGUGAGGGAUAAGCUUCACGUGCGAAAGGGGAACAGCCCAGACCGCCAAUUAAGGUCCCAAAAUCCAAGCUAAGUGGAAAAGGAUGUAGAGUUACUCAGACACCUAGGAGGUUGGCUUAGAAGCAGCCAUCCUUUAAAGAGUGCGUAACAGCUCACUAGUCGAGUGAUUCCGCGCCUAAGAUUCCCGGGGCUCAAGCUUGGUACCGAAAUUGCGGAUGUCAUUGCGAGAGAUCGCAGUGACGUGGUAGGGAAGCGUUCUUACUGCAUUGAAGGCGUACCGAAAGGAGCGCUGGAGCGGUAAGAAGUGAGGAUGUCGGAAUAAGUAGCGAUAAACAAGGUGAGAAUCCUUGUCGCCGUAAACCUAAGGGUUCCUUGAGUAAAGUUCGUCUGCUCAGGGUAAGUCGAUCCUAAGGCGAGGCCGAAAGGCGUAGUCGAAGGGUAUCCGGUUAAUAUUCCGGAACCGCGUCGAUGACGUUAUCAAACGAGAGGUGACGCAGGAGGGUAUACCGGCCAAGUGUUGGAAUACUUGGUUCAAGAGUGUACGGUUGCCGCGCAGGAAAAUCCGCGCGGCGUCAACCCGAAGCUCGAGCACGAGUCCGUCGCAAGACGGGCGAAGCGGUUCAACCACACUGCCAAGAAAACCCUCGCGUUGAGUCAUCGUCGCGCUCGUACCGUAAACGGACACACGUAGGUUGGCAUAAUAUGCUAAGGCGCGCGAGAUAACUCCUAUUAAGGAACUAGGCAAAAUAGCCCCGUAACUUCGGAAGAAGGGGUGCCCAUCGCAAGAUGGGUCUCAGUAAAGUGGCUCUCGUGACUGUUUAACAAAAACACAGGACUCUGCUGAAAUCGCAAGAUGAAGUAUAGGGUCUGACGCCUGCCCGGUGCCGGAAGGUCAAAGGGACGGCGGCCGUAACUAUAACGGUCCUAAGGUAGCGAAAUUCCUUGUCGGGUAAGUUCCGACCUGCACGAAUGGCGUAACAAAGAGAGCGCUGUCUCAAUAGGAGACUCGGCGAAAUUGUGGUACCUGUGAAGACGCAGGUUGCCUGCGGUAAGACGAAAAGACCCCGUGGAGCUUUACUGUAGCUUAAUCUUGAAUUACGGUUUUGGAUGCGUAGCAUAGGUGGGACCCGUUGAUGCCCCGAUUUCGGUCGGGGCGGAGGGAUCAGUGAAAUACCACCCUUUCAACACUGCGGUUCUAACUCGGCGCACAACGCCGGGGACAUGGUUAGGUGGGCAGUUUAACUGGGGCGGUUGCCUCCUAAAGAGUAACGGAGGCGUUCAAAGGUUCCUUCAGGGCCAAUAGUAAUGGCCUUAAAGAGUGCAAGGGCACAAAGGAGCUUAACUGCGAGGCAAACAAGCCAAGCAGGUGCGAAAGCAGGACCUAGUGAUCCGGUGCCGGCGAAUGGAAGCGGCAUCGCUCAACGAAUAAAAGCUACCCCGGGGAUAACAGGCUUAUUCCGUCCGAGAGUCCAUAUCGACGACGGAGUUUGGCACCUCGAUGUCGGCUCAUCCCAUCCUGGGGCUGGAGCAGGUCCCAAGGGUUUGGCUGUUCGCCAAUUAAAGGGGUACGUGAGCUGGGUUCAGUACGUCGUGAGACAGUACGGUCUCUAUCUACCGUGGGCGUAGGAAAUUUGAGAGGAGUCGUCCCUAGUACGAGAGGACCGGGAUGAACGCACCUCUGGUGUUCCGGCUGUCGCGCCAGCGGCAUUAGUCGGGUAGCCAUGUGCGGAUGAGAUAAUCGCUGAAAGCAUCUAAGCGAGAAACUCGCCUCGAGAUAAGAUUUCCCUGAAGGACCCCGGAAUACUACCGGGUUGAUAGGCGGGAGGUGUAAGGCCGGUAACGGUCGCAGCUAACCCGUACUAAUAGUCCGUUCGACUUGACCGC